ensembl:snRNA U4 U4 spliceosomal RNA
AGCUUUGCGCAGUGGCAGUAUCGUGGCCAAUGAGGUUAAUCCGAGGUGCGAUAAUUGCUAAUCGUUUCUUUUCAGUAUCUAUUCUCAGUACUUAUCUGACCUCUCAUUAUUAUUUUAUGCAAAUGCUUUGCUAUUUUUAAUGUUUACACUUACAAACUCACCCACGAGAGGGAGAUAGCA